UUCAGCGAGACUGCAUGGCUGUUGUUUGUGUGACAAAAACGCGUCAUUUCUACUCGAUAUUUUCUCAAAAUCUCUGAACUUUUCUAUCCUUCUUUAGAAGAAAAGACAGGUAAGUAAUCAGCGAGAAAGAACUCAAGAAGUGUGUUACGGCUUGCUCCCGUUUCAUCACGGGGAAAAGUGCACACUUUCUGGGUGAAGUGUUAGCGGUGUAGUGUGCGAUGGCAGCCUCGAGAGGCUGUGCAUGGUAAUGCCUACAUUAAGCAGCUCGGCUCGCGACUCGCGCUCUUCAAGAAAAAAAACGAAAGAAGCCGAAGCGAGUCGGGUUUCAGAGCCUCGCAGCUCUGGCCGCUGCCGAAGUAGCCAGCCAUCACAGGUUCAGGGGAUCUCUUAUACAUCCACAAGAGGAGCCGGAGACGAGCGCUGCUCUCUUUUGCUCUGUCUUUCGGGUUCGGCUCUCCGCUGGAUUUGGAGCUCGCAUCGCGACUCCUCAUUCUGCUAUGGAAAGCCAAAAGGUGCCCGUCAUUUUUCCUUCCUUCCCUUUAUUGGAGGGGCUGGAUUUGGAUCUGAACACUCUCUACCAGAUCGUGCAUCUCACAGCUGACGUCGCUGUGUUACUUGACGUUCUUCGCACCCCCUCUGGAAGUGGAAAUGCGGGGUUAACCCCACCUCUCAGAUACAGAAUCCGCUCCGUGAAUGUGUGUAUUGACGCCUCUACAGACAGACCCUCUGCCUGACCCUCCCUCCAGCUUUCAGUCUGAGGAUGAUAUCGCCUUCUCUGAUCUGCGCUCUGAGCAUUCUUCCCUCUUCUCUCCUGUCAGUCCGCCGUACUCUCGGUAUUCUCCUUAUUUCACCCUUGCUGGCUAUCCAAUGUCCCCAGGACGCACCCCAUUUUCUUCCCCCUACCGCUGUCCUCAGGAUUACACACCCACCAGUCCUGUGAAUUUUCAAUAAAAUUACAUAUUACUCAUACUAGGUCUCCCUCGUGUUUAUUUCAUGUCAUUUUUAUCCACAACAUUGUGUACUGAAUAGUAAAAAGCAGCCCAUAGUUUUAUAUUUCUGCAUAGAUUUUAAUUUGACUGUCAUUUGCAAUGGUUCAUGGGAUUGUAGUUCACCCCCCCC
ensembl:lncRNA